rnacentral:lncRNA from 1 species
GUGGUGUGGGCUGGGCCGGGUCGAACCGGGCCGGGCUGGGCCGAGUCUAAUUGGCUGGAGAUGGGAGCGGUAAAGGCGGUGCUGAUCGGACCCACCCCCCCCGUCCGCAGGUGUCCGUCCCUAUAAGUGCAGCCUAUGCGAGAAAGCCUUUACCCAGCGCUGUUCCUUGGAAUCCCACCUCAAGAAGAUCCACGGGGUGCAGCAGCAAUACGCCUACAAACAGAGGCGAGACAAACUGUACGUGUGUGAGGAAUGCGGGGGGACGGCGGACAGCCAGGACGCCCACCUGGCCCAUCUCCGCCAGCGCCAUCCCCACAGCCCCCUCCUCGCUAAGCUGGCACGGAAAGCGGCCGCAGCCGCCGCCCCCCAACCCCGCCCCCAGCCCCCCAUGGCGCCCCGAAUGCUGCCUCCCCCAUAGGGACACGUGGAGCCUUGGCCACGCCCCCCCGAGGCUCAGCCCACGCCCCUUGUGGCUCCAAGCUCCGCCCAUUUCGCCCCAACAGGCCACGCCCCCCACCGGACAUUGGCUCUGCCCAGCACAAGCCCCGCCCCCACGCCGAAGCCCCGCCCAUCCCUCAGGCAGGCCCCGCCCCCUGCUCUGCCCCCUCCCCUUUCCCCCUCCCCUAUGGUGCUCUAUAAUGGGGAGUGGGCAGGUGCUGUGUGAUGGGGAAGGACCCCUCAGCCCCCCACUCCAUAAAGCUUUCCGUGCUCAUCGAGAGCCUCCCGGCCGUUCUAAGGGGUCCUCGCGAGAUAGGACACCUCCCAGCACGGGGGGAAGGGGGGAAGGUGAGGACCCCCUAUAGCCUUUGUAACCCCCUCCCCAUCGUCCCCCCCCCCCAAAAGGCUUUAAGACAAGGCAGUUAGUCCAGUCUUUAUUGCCCUCCGCUCUGGGGGGGCCGAUGGGGAGGGCACACGGGGUGGGGGCAACAGGGUGAGCCCCCCCCCCUUCCUUCCCCCCUCCCUUCCAGCCUUCCAGGUUUGUUCCCAUGGAGGAGGGGGGGGGGAUGACGACCCUCACUCCUAAUUCCAGUCCUUUCCCAGCCUUUGGUCACAGACUCUGUACA